rnacentral:rRNA from 1 species
GGAAACAGAUGCUAAUACCGGAUAACAACAGAUGAUGCCUAUCAACUGUUUAAAAGAUGGUUCUGCUAUCACUCUUGGAUGGACCUGCGGUGCAUUAGCUAGUUUGUAGGGUAACGGCCUACCAAGGCGAUGAUGCAUAGCCGAGUUGAGAGACUGAUCGGCCACAUUGGGACUGAGACACGGCCCAAACUCCUAACGGGAGGCAGCAGCU